rnacentral:rRNA from 1 species
UACGUAGGGUGCGAGCGUUGUCCGGAAUUAUUGGGCGUAAAGGGCUCGUAGGCGGUCUGUUGCGUCGGGAGUGAAAACUCAGGGCUUAACCCUGAGCCUGCUUCCGAUACGGGCAGACUAGAGGUAUGCAGGGGAGAACGGAAUUCCUGGUGUAGCGGUGAAAUGCGCAGAUAUCAGGAGGAACACCGGUGGCGAAGGCGGUUCUCUGGGCCGUAACUGACGCUGAGGAGCGAAAGCAUGGGGAGCGAACAGG